CAUCAAACAAGAUUGCUGCUGCUGAGUUUGACUGAAGAAGAGUGCUGCAGUUGUGCUUGCUGAUGCCCCAACUCUCAACUCCAUCUUCAGGACAGAAAUAUGCAGGCACUCCCGUGGGAAUUUCAUGAAUCUCCACUAUCAUGACUUUGCCUUGACAGAAGACCCUUUGGGCCCUCCCGUGGGAUACAGCUCUGGGCAUCUGAUGGUCUUUUGUGACCUUACCAUUGAAAGGACAAACAACUUUGCUAACCACCCUGAAAUAAAACAAUAUGCUCACAAAUACAUACUUUUUAAAGCACACUAUGCAGAAGUUUUCUAAAACCGCAUGCUCAUGUCCUGUGUUCCAAGCAAAAUGGGCUUUAGUAUCAGGAAAUAGCAGUGCAAGUAACAAUUUCUCAACAGAAGAUUUG
rnacentral:lncRNA from 1 species